rnacentral:rRNA from 1 species
AUUGAACGCUGGCGGCGUGCUUAACACAUGCAAGUCGAUCGGUAACGCGGGGGCAACCCUGGCGACGAGAGGCGGACGGGUGAGGAACGCUUGGGAAUCUGCCUAUCAGCGGGGGACAACACGGGGAAACUCGUGCCAAUACCGCAUACGCUCUACGGAGGAAAGCCGGGGACCGCAAGGCCUGGCACUGAUAGAUGAGCCCAAGCCGGAUUAGCUAGUUGGCGGGGUAACGGCCCACCAAGGCGACGAUCCGUAGCUGGUCUGAGAGGACGAUCAGCCACACUGGGACUGAGACACUGCCAAGACUACUACGGGAGGCAGCAGUGGGGAAUAUUGGACAAUGGGGGAAACCCUGAUCCAGCGACGCCGCGUGGGUGAAGAAGGCCUGCGGGUUGUAAAGCCCUUUCGGUAGGGACGAAAGCUCUCGACCUAACACGUCGGGAGGUUGACUUAACCUACAAAAGAAGCACCGGCUAACUCUGUGCCAGCAGCCGCAGUAACAC